rnacentral:rRNA from 1 species
UACCUAACACAUGCAAGUCGUGCGAGAAACCUACCCUUCGGGGUAGGGAGUAAAGCGGCGGACGGGUGAGUAAUGCGUAGGUAACCUGCCUCCGAGAGGGGAAUAACCUACCGAAAGGUGGGCUAAUGCCCCAUAAGCUCACGGCCACUACGGUGGUUGUGAGAAAAGAUGGCCUCUGCAUGCAAGCUGUCGCUCGGAGAGGGGCUUACGUCCUAUCAGCUAGUUGGUGAGGUAAUGGCUCACCAAGGCUACGACGGGUAGCCGGCCUGAGAGGGUGGUCGGCCACACUGGCACUGAGACACGGGCCAGACUCCUACGGGAGGCAGCAGUGGGGAAUAUUGGGCAAUGGGCGCAAGCCUGACCCAGUAACGCCCCGUGGGUGAUGAAGGCCUUCGGGUCGUAAAGCCCUGUCAGGUGGGAAGAAUAUCUGAUGGGUAAAUAGCCCAUUGGAUUGACGGUACCACCAGAGGAAGCACCGGCUAACUCCGUGCCAGCAGCCGCGGUAAUACGGAGGGUGCGAGCGUUACUCGGAAUUACUGGGCGUAAAGGGCGCGUAGGCGGGAAGGCAAGUUGAGCGUGUAAGCCUGAGGCUCAACCUCAGAAUGGCGCUCAAAACUGCCUUUCUUGAGUCCCGGAGAGGCCGGCGGAAUUCCCGGUGUAGGGGUGAAAUCCGUAGAUAUCGGGAGGAACACCGGUGGCGAAGGCGGCCGGCUGGACGGGUACUGACGCUGAGGCGCGAAAGCGUGGGGAGCAAACAGGAUUAGA